rnacentral:misc_RNA from 1 species
UUUCCGUAGGUGAACCUGCGGAAGGAUCAUUCGUAAUAAAGUGUUUUAUGGCACUUUUUAAAAAUCCAUAACCACCUUGUGUGCAAUGUUAGAUCUCGUCAAUCUUGGCGAGAUUUUUAUACAUCAACUCAUUCUUUAACUAAUUUGUCUGAAAAAUAUUAUGAAUACUUAAUUCAAAAUACAACUUUCAACAACGGAUCUCUUGGCUCUC